UACGUAGGGUGCAAGCGUUAAUCGGAAUUACUGGGCGUAAAGCGUGCGCAGGCGGUUCGCUAAGACAGAUGUGAAAUCCCCGGGCUUAACCUGGGAACUGCAUUUGUGACUGGCGGGCUAGAGUAUGGCAGAGGGGGGUAGAAUUCCACGUGUAGCAGUGAAAUGCGUAGAGAUGUGGAGGAAUACCGAUGGCGAAGGCAGCCCCCUGGGCCAAUACUGACGCUCAUGCACGAGAGCGUGGGGAGCAAACAGG
rnacentral:rRNA from 1 species